rnacentral:tRNA from 1 species
AAGGUACUAGUAAAAAAGACAUUACACUGCUUUGUCAAGGCAAAAUCGUAGGUUAAAGUCCUGCGUAUCUUA